AGUUGAGGGCGCGGCGGCCACGGGUGGGAUCUCAGGCGCGUGGAGAGGAAGGCGCCGCGCGACCUCUCCUCACAGACAUCAGCUCGGGUCAACCGCGGGCCUCGAGCCCGAGUGGCUGAGGGCUGUUACCUUCAAACCUUUGAAUCCCACGUUUUCCCCUUGACUUCCUGUCACCGUUAGAGAAAAGUGGACAGCGUCUCGGUCACAGAGUUGGAGAAAUAGUGCAGGGACUCUUCAGGGAGAGCGUUUUCCUCAUCAAAGCAAACUGCAAAAUCGCUUCUGCCGGCGUGGACCUGAUGAGAGUCGGUCGUCGUGAGGGACACCCUCUGUUCCCUAACGUCCCCCGCUGCUUAUUUUUAAACGCUCGGUUGGCGGGAACCCCUGUGCCAGCUGAAACUCCUUCAGUUUGGCCGCCUAGGAAACACCGAGAGUCACCUACAUGGGCUGGCUGGGCAAUAAAAACGGGAAAAAAUGUAAAAGACACAGUCUCCGCCUUCGAAGCUUACACCCCCGGGGCAAGACCUACAGGAAAAUAGAUAAUCCCAUUAUUCUCUGAUAAAAGCCGAGCUGCUUGCCAUGAGCUCUGGGAGCAGACGGGGAGGCCUUGUUGAGAAAGCCUUCACCUGGGAGUGACAAUUGCGCUGAAUCUUAAGCAUAAGUAAGUUCUCCAGUUUAGGGAAGAGAGGGAAGGGCAUUGCAAGGAGAGGAAGCAAAGAGGAAGAGGACCUGGUUUGAGUAAUUGGGUAUGAAAACAGAUAUUGCAGCAAGAACUUUGUUGAAAAACCUUUAACCACUGUUUAGUUCGGAUGAGAACAUUCCCAGGCUCCUACGUGUGAUACGCAAAGUAUUUUCCAAAUCAGUGUUUAUGCUAAGAAGAUGAGCAGUUGAGCUGGACAAUUAUAAGAUAACUUCAUCUUUCUCCUGUAAGGACACUUAAAUAUCAGAAACCUAAGAGAAACGGGUUAUUGUCGUAAUUCACUAAGUUAUUAUAGCCAACAUUUUGCUAAAUUGGAAAUUGCCAAUAAUUUCAAGUUGUCUACAUAAGAGCAAUCUAAUAGGAAUUUUGUGAUACAGUUUCUCAGAGAAACUCUGAGAAAAUUCUCAGGCAAAAAACAAAAACGUCAUCAGUCCUGAUUUAUUAUCAAAAUUUUCUCCUAUAAGCUCUGCUCAGAAGAAGUCAUUCUGUAGUCCAAGUUAGGGCUAAUGAGGAGCCAUACUCUUACAUCAAAAUAGAAGCUGUCCUUUUCUAAAGAAAGACUCUGGUAUUUUGCUGUAGUUU
rnacentral:lncRNA from 10 species